GACGAACGCUGGCGGCGUGCUUAACACAUGCAAGUCGAACGGAAAGGCCCUGCUUUUGUGGGUUGCUCGAGUGGCGAACGGGUGAGAAACACGUGAGUAACCUGCCUUUGACUUUGGGAUAACUCCAGAAAACUGGUGCUAAUACCGACUAGCAGCUCCUGCUGCCUGGUGAGGGUUGGAACGUUUCGGCGGUUGGGGAUGGACUCCCGGCUUAUCAGCUUGUUGGUGGGGUAGUGGCUUACCAAGGCUUUGACGGGUAGCCGGCCUGAGAGGGUGACCGGCGACAUUGGGACUGAGGUAGGGCCCAGACGCCUACUGGAGGCAGCAGUGGGGAAUAUUGCACAAUGGGCGGAAGCCUGAUGCAGCAACGCCGUGGGCGGGAUGACGGCCUUCGGGUUGUAAACCGCUUUCGCCUGUGACGAAGCGUGAGUGACGGUAAUGGGUAAAGAAGCACCGGCUAACUACGUG
rnacentral:rRNA from 1 species